AUCUAGUUGACGAGUUCCAAAUAGAACGAAACGUGCGACCUUGAU
rfam:Schistosoma haematobium scaffold104_5, whole genome shotgun sequence.